rnacentral:rRNA from 1 species
GGAACUCUGAGACAGGUGCUGCAUGGCUGUCGUCAGCUCGUGUUGUGAAAUGUUGGGUUAAGUCCCGCAACGAGCGCAACCCUUAUCCUUGUUUGCCAGCACGUAAUGGUGGGAACUCCAGGGAGACUGCCGGUGAUAAACCGGAGGAAGGUGGGGAUGACGUCAAGUCAUCAUGGCCCUUACGAGUAGGGCUACACACGUGCUACAAUGGCGCGUACAGAGGGCUGCAAGCUAGCGAUAGUGAGCGAAUCCCAAAAAGUGCGUCGUAGUCCGGAUUGGAGUCUGCAACUCGACUCCGUGAAGUCGGAAUCGCUAGUAAUCGUGGAUCAGAAUGCUACGGUGAAUACGUUCCCGGGUCUUGUACACAC